GGGGAUAACAGUUAGAAAUGACUGCUAAUACCGCAUAAGACCACGGUACUGCAUGGUACAGUGGUAAAAACUCCGGUGGUAUGAGAUGGGCCCGCGUCUGAUUAGCUAGUUGGUGAGGUAACGGCUCACCAAGGCAACGAUCAGUAGCCGACCUGAGAGGGUGACCGGCCACAUUGGGACUGAGACACGGCCCAAACUCCUACGGGAGGCAGCAGUGGGGAAUAUUGCACAAUGGGGGAAACCCUGAUGCAGCGACGCCGCGUGAGCGAUGAAGUAUUUCGGUAUGUAAAGCUCUAUCAGCAGGGAAGAAAAUGACGGUACCUGACUAAGAAGCCCCGGCUAACUACGUGCCAGCAGCCGCGGUAAUACGUAGGGGGCAAGCGUUAUCCGGAUUUACUGGGUGUAAAGGGAGCGUAGACGGCGAUGCAAGCCAGAUGUGAAAGCCCGGGGCUCAACCCCGGGACUGCAUUUGGAACUGUAUAGCUAGAGUGUCGGAGAGGCAGGCGGAAUUCCUAGUGUAGCGGUGAAAUGCGUAGAUAUUAGGAGGAACACCAGUGGCGAAGGCGGCCUGCUGGACGAUGACUGACGUUGAGGCUCGAAAGCGUGGGGAGCAAACAGGAUUAGAUACCCUGGUAGUCCACGCCGUAAACG
rnacentral:rRNA from 1 species